GAAGUAGCUCAGUUGGUUAGAGUGUGGUGCUGAUAACACAAAGGUUGCAGGUUUGAGCCCUGUUUGUGACA